GACGAACGCUGGCGGCGUGCUUAACACAUGCAAGUGGUGCGACGAACCAGGGCUUGCCCUGGGGCAAAGCAGCGAACGGGUGAGUAACACGUGGGUAACCUGCCCCGAUGAUCGGGACAACCCGAGGAAACUCGGGCUAAUACCGAAUGUGCUCGCCGGACAUCAGUCCGGCGCGUAAAGGAAGCUUCGGCCUCCGCUUCGGGAGGGGCCCGCGGCCCAUUAGCUUGUUGGUGAGGUAACGGCUCACCAAGGCAACGAUGGGUAGCUGGUCUGAGAGGACGAUCAGCCACACUGGGACUGAGACACGGCCCAGACUCCUACGGGAGGCAGCAGUGGGGAAUCUUGCGCAAUGCGCGAAAGCGUGACGCAGCAACGCCGCGUGGGGGAAGAAGGCCUUCGGGUUGUAAACCCCUUUCAGGAGGGACGAAGGUUCGGCGGUGAAUAGCCGUCCGGACUGACGGUACCUCCACAAGAAGCCCCGGCUAACUACGUGCCAGCCGCCGCGGUAAAAC
rnacentral:rRNA from 1 species